rnacentral:rRNA from 1 species
UACGUAGGGCGCAAGCGUUGUCCGGAAUUAUUGGGCGUAAAGAGCUCGUAGGCGGUUUGUCGCGUCUGCUGUGAAAACCUAAGGCUCAACCUUGGGCUUGCAGUGGGUACGGGCAGACUAGAGUGCGGUAGGGGGUGACUGGAAUUCCUGGUGUAGCGGUGGAAUGCGUAGAUAUCGGGAGGAACACCAGUGGCGAAGGCGGCUUUCUGGGUCUUACCUGAGCGCUGAGGAACGAAAAGCUA